UACGGGGGGGGCAAGCGUUGUUCGGAAUUACUGGGCGUAAAGCGUGCGCAGGCGGUUCUAUAAGACAGAUGUGAAAUCCCCGGGCUCAACCUGGGAACUGCAUUUGUGACUGUAGAGCUGGAGUACGGUAGAGGGGGAUGGAAUUCCGCGUGUAGCAGUGAAAUGCGUAGAUAUGCGGAGGAACACCGAUGGCGAAGGCAAUCCCCUGGACCUGUACUGACGCUCAUGCACGAAAGCGUGGGGAGCAAACAGG
rnacentral:rRNA from 1 species